AUAUAAUUUAACCUAAAUGCACGUCUCUUACCCCCAUUACCUCCAUUUAACUCACAAAGGCAAAUCCACGUUUCAUCUAAUCGCCCCAUUUAUCAUCUCGUAUAUCCCGAUUCUCAAUUUUUGUUCAUGUAUGAACUUCCAGCGGUUCACAAGAGACUUAAUCGACGAGCGCGCCCCAUUUACCAUCUGUAUCCGGAUUCUAAAAUUUCCUUUCAUGUUUGAACUUUUAUAUUGUUGCAGCGAUUUACGGGAGACUUAUUCGAUAGAAAUAGCCUUCAAUCUCAAACUAAAAAGAGUUUGACACGAAGAUAUGUGGGAUAGGCAAAGCUGAGUUUCCAAGCUCACGUCGUCAUUCCUUCUUUAUAGGUCAGUUUCAAACCCAAAUUGUUGCAUACGUCUAUCCUAUUUUCUGAAAAACGAAUCUCACCAAUCACCAUUAUGGGCUAUGACGUGAGAUGGAGAAUCAGAUCAACUGACAAUUGAUAUGGUAAUUGAGAAACGAAUUGGUAUAUCUUUGAGUGCUCUGCCUUUUCAUGUGCAGACUUCUGUAGAUUUUUAUGUCCCUAAAACUACUUAUGUAUUUGCUGAACAUAUAGUUUGCAAUUUGUUAGCAUGAAAUUGCGACUAGACCGAGAAGCCUUUUAGAGCAAUUUUUUGUGACCAUGAUGACAGAACCGUCCUAAUCCAGAAACCGGGAAUGCAAAAAAUGAGAUCACUAGACAGCCAAAUGAGGCAUUUGGUGAUAGAGAAUGUCAUUCUUAAUCUUCCACAUGGCCAAGAGCAAAUGCCAUGGUUGAUAAACUACACAGAAUGGUCUUUAACCAAUAAUGUU